rnacentral:rRNA from 1 species
GACGAACGCUGGCGGCGUGCUUAACACAUGCAAGUCGAACGGAAAGGCCCUGCUUUUGUGGGGUGCUCGAGUGGCGAACGGGUGAGUAACACGUGAGUAACCUGCCCUUGACUUUGGGAUAACUUCAGGAAACUGGGGCUAAUACCGGAUAGGAGCUCCUGCUGCAUGGUGGGGGUUGGAAAGUUUCGGCGGUUGGGGAUGGACUCGCGGCUUAUCAGCUUGUUGGUGGGGUAGUGGCUUACCAAGGCUUUGACGGGUAGCCGGCCUGAGAGGGUGACCGGCCACAUUGGGACUGAGAUACGGCCGAGACUCCUACGGGAGGCAGCAGUGGGGAAUAUUGCACAAUGGGCGGAAGCCUGAUGCAGCAACGCCGCGUGCGGGAUGACGGCCUUCGGGGUGUAAACCGCUUUCGCCUGUGACGAAGCGUGAGUGACGGUAAUGGGUAGAGAAGCACCGGCUAACUACGUG